rnacentral:snRNA from 1 species
UUUUAAAUGGGUUACUAUGAAGU